rnacentral:rRNA from 1 species
UGCAAGUCGAACGGUAGAGGGGGCAACCCCUUGAGAGUGGCGAACGGGUGAGUAAUAUAUCGGAACGUGCCCAGUCUGGGGGAUAACGUAGCGAAAGUUACGCUAAUACCGCAUAUCCCCUGAGGGGGAAAGCAGAGAUGCGCCCACGGAGCAGCCUGCGUCCGAUUAGCUAGUUGGUUAGUAAAGGCUGACCAAGGCGACGAUCGGUAGCUGGUCUGAGACGGAUGAUCAGCCACACUGGAACUGAGACACGGUCCAGACUCCUACCGGGAGGCAGCAGUGGGGAAUAUUGGACAAUGGGCGCAAGCCCUGAUCCAGCAAUUCCGCGUGGGUGAAGAAGGUCUUCGGAUUGUAAAGCCCUUUCGUUGGGGACGAUGAUGACGGUACCCAAAGAAGAAGCCCCGGCUAACUUCGUG